UCCAGCUUAUCGCUGGCGGUCUCCUGCGAGUUGCGCCUUGCGGCAUGCCAACACAGGACAAGGGUUGCGCUCGUUGCGGGACUUAACCCAACAUCUCACGACACGAGCUGACGACAGCCAUGCAGCACCUCGACUCUAGUCCCUUGCGGGAAAACCGUGUUUCCACAGUCGUUCACGAGCCGUUCGAGCCCAGGUAAGGUUCUUCGCGUUGCGUCGAAUUAAACCACAUUCUCCACCGCUUGUGCGGGCCCCCGUCAAUUUCUUUGAGUUUUAAUCUUGCGACCGUACUCCCCAGGCGGGAUACUUAAUGCGUUAGCUCCGGCACUGAAGGGGUCAAUACCUUCAACACCUAGUUCUCAUCGUUUACGGCGUGGACUAC
rnacentral:misc_RNA from 1 species